GUGGAGCAUCUUUCCAUGUGCCUGAUGGCUACCCAUGCCUUCUUUGGAGAAAUGUUCUGCACUGCUGACUGUGCCUCUAGGCAAAAUCCAGCAACCACCAGGCUCACGGACGUGUUUCCUUCUUCUGGGACAACUUGUCAUGAUCUUUUCCUAUCGUCCUGUGUCUGAAAAGGCAGUCACUAAAUGGAUAUUGUCCAGCCAGAAUGUUUUUGGGUGUCAUGGACCAUUCUGCCUGGAAAAGAGUUUGGGACUUUCAACCUACCCAUUUCAGAGUACAUCAUGAGAAACGCUGGGCUGGAAGAAGCACAAGCUGGAAUCAAGAUUGCCAGGAGAACUAUCAAUAACCUCAGGACGGAUCCAGUCUCCAUUUCCUAAGAUAACUUUUUGUCAUCAUGACCUUCCCCAUUGAUCCUGCCUGGGAAGACUCAGACCAGCCUCUCCGCAGAAGCCUGAUCCCUGACUACGGUGCUCUCUUGGGUGGGACGACAGCUAAGGAGAAGGCGCAGAAGGCAAAGUUAAUGAUAUUUCACUUUAGAGAAAAUACGGCUGUGAAUUAAGACAGAUACUAUUGUAGGAGAGGUGGGAGAAGGAAAUGGCGACCUACUCCAGUGUUCUUGCCUGGGAAAUCCCAGGACAGAGGAGCCUGAGGGCCACAGUCCAUGGGAGGUAGGGGGGUGUCACAAAGAGUCAGACACGACUCAGCAGCUAAACCACAAAACUGAGAGAACAGAGACGUGGAGAGUUUGUCACUUCCAUAUAGAUCACGGGCUUUAUUUUGUGGUUUGGGGGAAUAUUUGAUUUGACUAUACAAAACCACUUUUUUGCUGUUGUACUAUUUAAUGUUUAUAGAUCAUUGCAGACAGAAAAGAUCACUUAAAAGCUGUUUACUGUGUGCCUGUUUGCUUUGCACUCAGAUUUGAAAAUAAAAAAUAAACAAGGUAUCAUUCCAGCUUCCUAAAAAAAGAAUAAUAAUAUUGUAGGAGAGGCAAAACUUUUCCUCUACUUUUAGGGUCUCUGACUAAGCCUGAGAAUUAAGCUGACACAGGACAGACGAACAGGGAAAAGUGUGCACAGCUGAGCUCUGCACUACACGGGGCCCACUGUGUGGGUCCACUCAGGUGCGCAUCUUUUUCACUAAAUACAUACUGCACGGCCCACGCUUGGCUGAAUCCACAGGUGUGGAACCACAGGAAGAGAGGGCUGACUGUAAUGUUACCUCUGGGUUUGAAUCACCCAGGGGUCGGCACCCCUAAUUCCUGCGUUGUUCAAGGGUCAACUGCCAAUUUUAUUUAGUACUUUAAUAAUUUUAUGACGUGGACAUGGGAGCCCUUCAGGAACAUGAAGAUCCAGAAGGCAGCUGGGGAGGGGGGCUGGGAAGGAGACUCCAGAUGGAGGGGCAUCCCGUAUGCUUACAGCUGAUGCUCACUGUACAGCCGAAACGGCUGAGUGAGUCACACACACACAGCAGAAACUAUCACAG
ensembl:lncRNA